rnacentral:piRNA from 1 species
AGCAAUGACGUAAUACCAGUAGCAGCU